GUCGAACGCUGAACCAGAUGCUUGCAUUUGGUGGAUGAGUGGCGAACGGGUGAGUAACACGUGGGUGAUCUGCCCUACACUUUGGGAUAAGCCUGGGAAACUGGGUCUAAUACCGAAUAUUCACAUCAUCGUAGGGGUGGUGUGGAAAGCCUUGUGCGGUGUGGGAUGAGCCUGCGGCCUAUCAGCUUGUUGGUGGGGUAAUGGCCUACCAAGGCGUCGACGGGUAGCCGGCCUGAGAGGGUGUACGGCCACAUUGGGACUGAGACACGGCCCAGACUCCUACGGGAGGCAGCAGUGGGGAAUAUUGCACAAUGGGCGCAAGCCUGAUGCAGCGACGCCGCGUGGGGGAUGACGGCCUUCGGGUUGUAAACUCCUUUCGCUAGGGACGAAGCCUAUGGUGACGGUACCUGGAGAAAAAGCACCGGCUAACUACGUGCCAGCAGCCGCGGUAAUACGUAGGGUGCGAGCGUUGUCCGGAAUUACUGGGCGUAAAGAGCUCGUAGGUGGUUUGUCGCGUCGUCUGUGAAAUCCCGGGGCUUAACUUCGGGCGUGCAGGCGAUACGGGCAUAACUUGAGUGCUGUAGGGGAGACUGGAAUUCCUGGUGUAGCGGUGAAAUGCGCAGAUAUCAGGAGGAACACCAAUGGCGAA
rnacentral:rRNA from 1 species